CUUUCCCCCUGUGUUUUUACACUUGUUUUAAAAGAUGCAGGCAUUGAUUUAGCCUAGAGAAAGAUUUAUUAAAGAAGAUAUAUGAACCAUAUCUCCUUUCUCUGUUUCCCUUUGCUCGCUGCCCACUCUUUUUAUGGUGCAGUAUGAUUGAAAGUUAAUACAUAAUCCAAGCAGAAAAGAAAAGAGUUCUUAGUUAAAAGCAAGAAAAAAAUGAGUCUAUCUGAUAUAGCUAGAGUGAGACUCUAUUAGAGAUCUGUCAGUAUUUUCAUCACUACUCAUAUUUUCAGAGGGCAACACUUGUCCAAGUAAGACACAAUGAAGAAAAGAUAGAGAGAGUAUAGAAGCAGCCUGAGUGGUCUUGUAGUCUUCCCUGGUUGUUACUUUGAUGAACCUACAGUUCCCAUAACUGGCCAUUUGCUCCAUUGGAAUCACCAUUUCCUCCUAAAAAAUUGGCUCAGCUGAAAUCCUCAACUGUGAUGUCCUCAAGGAAAAAUGAAUGUUGCCAUGCUUUCUUUGAGUAAAAUUGAAGUUCCUUUUUCAAUCUAAACUCCUUGUGAGUAGAAUUGUUUUAUUGUAUUCCCAACACCAAAGCACAGUGCUUGAAACACUGGAACAUUGCAAAUGCUUAAUAAAUAUCU
rnacentral:lncRNA from 1 species